GCACUGCUGAGGAGUCCCACAACAGGACGAAACGGCCGUCCAAUGC
rfam:Schistosoma margrebowiei strain Zambia genome assembly, scaffold: SMRZ_scaffold0000563